AUUGAACGCUGGCGGCAUGCUUUACACAUGCAAGUCGAACGGCAGCACGGACUUCGGUCUGGUGGCGAGUGGCGAACGGGUGAGUAAUACAUCGGAACGUACCCAGUAAUGGGGGAUAACUAUCCGAAAGGAUAGCUAAUACCGCAUACGCCCUACGGGGGAAAGAGGGGGAUCGCAAGACCUCUUGUUAUUGGAGCGGCCGAUGGCUGAUUAGCUAGUUGGUGAGGUAAAGGCUCACCAAGGCGACGAUCAGUAGCGGGUCUUAGAGGACGAUCCGCCACGCUGGAACUGAGACACGGUCCAGACUCCUACGGGAGGCAGCAGUGGGGAAUCUUGGACAAUGGGCGCAAGCCUGAUCCAGCAAUGCCGCGUGCGUGAAGAAGGCCUUCGGGUUGUAAAGCGCUUUUGUCAGGGAGCAAAUCCUUGUGGCUAAUACCCACCGGGGAUGAGAGUACCUGAAGAAUAAGGACCGGCUAACUACGUGCCAGCCGCCGCCGUAAGAC
rnacentral:rRNA from 1 species